rnacentral:rRNA from 1 species
AACGAACGCUGGCGGCGCGCUUAACACAUGCAAGUCGAACGAGAAGGCGUAGCAAUACGCUUGUACAGUGGCGAACGGGUGAGUAAUACGUGGGCGACCUACCCUCGAGUGGGGAAUAACCCGCCGAAAGGCGGGCUAAUGCCGCGUACGCUUCCAUCUUUAUGGAGGUGGAAGGAAAGCCGUGCCGUGGGCACGGCGCUCAAGGAUGGGCUCACGUCCUAUCAGCUUGUUGGAGGGUAACGGCCUACCAAGGCUCCGACGGGUAGCUGGUCUGAGAGGACGAUCAGCCACACUGGCACUGCGACACGGGCCAGACUCCUACGGGAGGCAGCAGUGAGGAAUAUUGCGCAAUGGGCGAAAGCCUGACGCAGCGACGCCGCGUGGGGGAGUGAAGGUCUUCGGAUUG